rnacentral:rRNA from 1 species
GACGAACGCUGGCGGCGUGCCUAAUACAUGCAAGUCGAACGAGAGCGACCGGUGCUUGCACUGGUCAAUCUAGUGGCGAACGGGUGAGUAACACGUGGGUAACCUGCCCAUCAGAGGGGGAUAACAUUCGGAAACGGAUGCUAAAACCGCAUAGGUUCUUUAGUCGCAUGACUGAAGAAGGAAAAGAGGCUUCGGCUUCUGCUGAUGGAUGGACCCGCGGUGCAUUAGCUAGUUGGUGAGGUAACGGCUCACCAAGGCGAUGAUGCAUAGCCGACCUGAGAGGGUGAUCGGCCACAUUGGGACUGAGACACGGCCCAAACUCCUACGGGAGGCAGCAGUAGGGAAUCUUCCGCAAUGGACGCAAGUCUGACGGAGCAACGCCGCGUGAGUGAAGAAGGAUUUCGGUUCGUAAAACUCUGUUGUUAGAGAAGAACAGCGCAUAGAGUAACUGUUAUGCG